CUUCCUUGCUUGUUUGAAGACAGCCUACUGUAAGCCCUAUGGCUUGGAGGUGACCAGGCUCUCCAGGAGAUCAACACUUCGAGCCCUCUUUGCCCUCCUUCCCUGCCCCCUCUUCUAGGGGAGUCAGAUCGAGUUGUAAGGAGAACAUGCCCACUGUCUCGAUGGCUGCAGCGUGCAAUCCAUACAGACGGUGAGGAUGCAAAGAGAAAGUGGCUGCCUGCAAACCAGGAGGAGAGCCCUCACCAGGAACCAAUCUAGCUGACACUUUGAACUUGGACUUCAAACCUCCAGUAUUGUAAGAAAUAAAUAUGUUUUCAAAG
rnacentral:lncRNA from 1 species